rnacentral:lncRNA from 1 species
CCAAGAAAUAGUGUGAAGAAAAUAUUUUUCUCUCUCUUCAAACCUUCAAAUGGAAAGUCUGGGGGGUAAUAUCUUUUAUCUCUUUUUCUGGUACUCACUGGAACAUUCACAUUUAAAAGUUCUUUUCUGUUCUUUCUUCCCAAAGUCCUUGUAGCACUUAUUAUCUCACAAACUUUGCCUUAUCCCCUUCCUGCUGCCCUGUCACCACUUCAAAAAUUGUUAAGCCAGAACUGAGAAAAAUCAUUCUCUCUUUGAAAUCCCAAAGUAGAGACCUUAAACUAGCAAACAAAUACCAAUUUAUAACCCUUUUAAGAGCUAUCUCUCGGUUUCCUUCCAUUUCCUUAGGUUUUCAGCUUUGUAAGUGUUUUGGCUAGGUGAUUAGACAGCAAGUGCAGUAUAGACCAGUUUGUGGCUGGACACCCCAACAGGGCUGCCUGACACCCUGGGUCACUCUGCCUGUUUCAGUACCACAAGGAGUUCAAGCCAUCAGAAAGUAAUGUGAAGACUUCAAUCAAGUCACCCCUUGGGGAAGAUUCAAGCCAAUGACGGAAAGAAAUAAGGAAAAAGAAAAGACUUGCUUGAUAACUGACUUCUCUUGGGAAAAGGGAAUAAUAAGUACUGCUUUUUGUCAAGAUUAUCUUUAUGGGAAAGUGAUACAGGAAAUAAAUGGAUUCGAUUCAAACACCUGUGAUGCCUUUUAAAAGGCUUUGAAAAGCUACAAGGAAUGAAAGGUAAGUAUUCAAAGUCAAAAAGUUUGCAUCAAUAAUUUAUAUGAUUUGAUGCAGAAACUUCCCUAGUAGAACAUAAGACAGGUUAUGGACUUCCAGACGGAGUCUCUAUAUGGCAGUGACAGCUAUACUUGAGCCAUAAAGGAAAAGAAAUAUAUUUUUAUUACUGUGUUAAAAAUCUUGAAAUAGAUUGGUUUCAUUGUUU